rnacentral:rRNA from 1 species
UACGUAGGGGGGCAAGCGUUGUCCGGAUUUAUUGGGCGUAAAGAGCGUGUAGGCGGUUUGGUAGGUCCGUUGUGAAAACUCGAGGCUCAACCUCGAGACGCCGAUGGAAACCAUCAGACUAGAGUCCGGAAGAGGAGAGUGGAAUUCCUGGUGUAGCGGUGAAAUGCGCAGAUAUCAGGAAGAACACCCGUGGCUAAGGCGGCUCUCUAGUACGGUACUGACGCUGAGACGCGAAAAGCGUGGGGGAGCGAACAGG